AGAGAUGAUAACUUCGAACGCGGAGUGGCACAUCGUGUGGAACCAACCACGAGCCGAGCCGCACAUCCUCACAUGCGCGCGCUCUCCAGCUACAGGCGCGCGGCCGUCCCAGGACAGUAUAAAAAUCCCGGGGAACUCUCCCAAGAGCACGGAAAGAACUGGAUUUUUUAGGUGUAUCUGUCUGUCAAUCAAUCAUGAAGGCUGUGGCAAUAAUCCUUGCUCUGGCAGUCAUCUCUGGUAAACCUGGGUUUACACUGUUCCCUUUUGACAUUGUUAUCAAUUUAUACAGUGCCUUGCAAAAGUAUUCAUACCCCUAGAAUUUCUUCACAUUUUAUUGUGUUAGAAAGUGGGAUUAAAAUGGAUUUAAUUGUAAUUCAUUACAAUUAACGACUAUA